GCUUGCGCAGCCUUCGCUAGCCCCGCCCCGUCCUAUUCGGGCUCCCGCCUCUGUUCAGUUCCAGAGACAAUUCAUGGGUCUUGGGGCCACCGAGGCGCUGUCCCUGACCACCAGCACGAGACCCCUUUCUAUCGCGCCAGUCCUGUGGUCUCCGCACCUCUCCAGCUCCUGCACCCCCGGCCCCCGUGGUUCCCAGCCGCACAGUAGCGUGUCCUGGGUAGCGUGAGGACCCACGGGGCUGGGCAGGUGCCACGAGCCCGCCGCCUCUUCGCCGCCCGCCGCCUCUCCUCCUCUCCCGCCCGCCGCCUGGCCCUCCCCUACCAGGCUGAGCCUCUGGGUGCCAGAAGCGCGGGGCCUCCGGGAGAAUACGUGCGGUCGCCCGCUCCGCGUGCGCCUACGCCUUCUGCUCCAGUUGCUUUCCCAAUUGAGCGGAAAAGCCGGGGCAUGUUGCCGGGGCCCUGGGCGGGACGGUUGUGCCCUGCAGCCCGAAGCCCGCCGGGGCACCUUCCCGCCCACGAGCUGCCCAGUCCCUCUGCUUGCGGCCCCUGCCAACGUCCCACAGGACACUGGGUCCCCUUGGAGCCUCCCCAGGCUUAAUGAUUGUCCAGAAGGCGGCUAUAAAGGGAGCCUGGGAGGCUGGGUGGAGGAGGGAGCAGAAAAAACCCAACUCAGCAGAUCUGGGAACUGUGAGAGCGGCAAGCAGGAACUGUGGUCAGAGGCUGUGCGUCUUGGCUGGUAGGGCCUGCUCUUUUCUACCAUGGCAGCCCAGGGCUAUGGCUAUUAUCGCACUGUGAUCUUCUCAGCCAUGUUUGGGGGCUACAGCCUGUAUUACUUCAAUCGCAAGACCUUCUCCUUUGUCAUGCCAUCAUUGGUGGAAGAGAUCCCUUUGGACAAGGAUGAUUUGGGGUUCAUCACCAGCAGCCAGUCGGCAGCUUAUGCUAUCAGCAAGUUUGUCAGUGGGGUGCUGUCUGACCAGAUGAGUGCUCGCUGGCUCUUCUCUUCUGGGCUGCUCCUGGUUGGCCUGGUCAACAUAUUCUUUGCCUGGAGCUCCACAGUACCUGUCUUUGCUGCCCUCUGGUUCCUUAAUGGCCUGGCCCAGGGGCUGGGCUGGCCCCCAUGUGGGAAGGUCCUGCGGAAGUGGUUUGAGCCAUCUCAGUUUGGCACUUGGUGGGCCAUCCUGUCAACCAGCAUGAACCUGGCUGGAGGGCUGGGCCCUAUCCUGGCAACCAUCCUUGCCCAGAGCUACAGCUGGCGCAGCACGCUGGCCCUAUCUGGGGCACUGUGGUGUGGUUGUCUCCUUCCUCUGUCUCCUGCUCAUCCACAAUGAACCUGCUGAUGUUGGACUCCGCAACCUGGACCCCAUGCCCUCUGAGGGCAAGAAGGGCUCCUUGAAGGAGGAGAGCACCCUGCAGGAGCUGCUGCUGUCCCCUUACCUGUGGGUGCUCUCCACUGGUUACCUUGUGGUGUUUGGAGUAAAGACCUGCUGUACUGACUGGGGCCAGUUCUUCCUUAUCCAGGAGAAAGGACAGUCAGCCCUUGUAGGUAGCUCCUACAUGAGUGCCCUGGAAGUUGGGGGCCUUGUAGGCAGCAUCGCAGCUGGCUACCUGUCAGACCGGGCCAUGGCAAAGGCGGGACUGUCCAACUACGGGAACCCUCGCCAUGGCCUGUUGCUGUUCAUGAUGGCUGGCAUGACAGUGUCCAUGUACCUCUUCCGGGUAACAGUGACCAGUGACUCCCCCAAGCUCUGGAUCCUGGUAUUGGGAGCUGUAUUUGGUUUCUCCUCGUAUGGCCCCAUUGCCCUGUUUGGAGUCAUAGCCAACGAGAGUGCCCCUCCCAACUUGUGUGGCACCUCCCACGCCAUUGUGGGACUCAUGGCCAAUGUGGGCGGCUUUCUGGCUGGGCUGCCCUUCAGCACCAUUGCCAAGCACUACAGUUGGAGCACAGCCUUCUGGGUGGCUGAAGUGAUUUGUGCGGCCAGCACGGCUGCCUUCUUCCUCCUACGAAACAUCCGCACCAAGAUGGGCCGAGUGUCCAAGAAGGCUGAGUGAAGAGAGUCCAGGUUCCGGAGCACCAUCCCACGGUGGCCUUCCCCCUGCACGCUCUGCGGGGAGAAAAGGAGGGGCCUGCCUGGCUAGCCCUGAACCUUUCACUUUCCAUUUCUGCGCCUUUUCUGUCACCCGGGUGGCGCUGGAAGUUAUCAGUGGCUAGUGAGGUCCCAGCUCCCUGAUCCUAUGCUCUAUUUAAAAGAUAACCUUUGGCCUUAGACUCCGUUAGCUCCUAUUUCCUGCCUUCAGACAAACAGGAAACUUCUGCAGUCAGGAAGGCUCCUGUACCCUUCUUCUUUUCCUAGGCCCUGUCCUGCCCGCAUCCUACCCCAUCCCCACCUGAAGUGAGGCUAUCCCUGCAGCUGCAGGGCACUAAUGACCCUUGACUUCUGCUGGGUCCUAAGUCCUCUCAGCAGUGGGUGACUGCUGUUGCCAAUACCUCAGACUCCAGGGAAAGAGAGGAGGCCAUCAUUCUCACUGUACCACUAGGCGCAGUUGGAUAUAGGUGGGAAGAAAAGGUGACUUGUUAUAGAAGAUUAAAACUAGAUUUGAUACUGAACACUGUCAGUGAUUCAUUUUUUCAAAGUGAGACAGCUUCCUUGGGAAAUAUUGUCAAUACCUGCUCUUUCCACCCCAAAAUGGAAAGACUUCAUUUCCCUGGAAUGGGGAAGCUGAAGUGUAGAUGGACUCCUUUAAAACUCAUGCCUCCUCUGCCUUCACCUGAACAUUGAAUAGUUCAAUGAUUAUUUUAGAGAUAAAGCUAUUGGGUUGUGGACAGAUUAAAUAACUUGAUGGAGGG
rnacentral:lncRNA from 1 species